rnacentral:lncRNA from 1 species
UUUUGUCCCAAUGGGUUUUCCUUGUAAGGUUUUUAAUGAGGGAGACUCUUCAGGGUUUCAAGCUUGACUUAGGAUCUCCUAGAGUCAAGCUUGAGGGCGAGUGUUGAACUGAAGAGAAGAUGGAACUUGUUUAUAAAUAGGGCAAGCUCCAGAAGAUCUCCAGAAGAGUUCUAUUAAGCUUCGGAAGUGUUUAGAAUCUGAUGCAAAGAAGAGACAAGAUCUAAGAAGUGUCUUGAAGGUGUUUACAAGACAUUGGAAGAGUUUGGAAGAUUAUGGUUGAUGGUGCAAAGUUAGGGAUCGACAUGUACGGGCGGACGUACGAACUGUACGGACCGUACGGACAUGAUCGACCCGAAACUUAUCAUUUCGGCCAUUUGAGCACAUUUGAGGAAUGUGCAAUCUUAGGGCACAAGGUGUACGGUCCUGACAUCCGUACAGCCAAGUCUGAUCAUGUCUUGGGAGACAAGGCAAGGAGAAGGGCGUGUGAGACUAUCCAAGGGACAAAGAUCCAUUUGGCAUAUUCAAAGAUGCCUUAGGACGCAACCAGGAAGGUGCCUUUCUCUCCAGCUCACACAGACCAAUCACAGCCAAGUAUUCAGUCCACAAGACAGCUCAUGACAGCCUGUAAAGGUCAGACACGCCAAAGACUCCCAUUGGCCAAGCAUGUGAUGAUUCUGGUCCAUAGAAUUCAAAAUGGGCGCUCCCCUUUAUGUUGACUUCACAUGCUUAGGUUAUCUGAUGUAUCCAACCUCCAAUUAUGUAUUUAAGC